GGGUCUGAAUAAUUUCUGAAUGCACUAUUUCCCAUGCAAAUAAAGCUGCUUUGAAUUGAAUUGAGACGAGAAAUGAAAAUCAAUAUGACCUUUCAUGAUGUAAAGGGGAAGACAGGCUUAUCGUUGUUCCAUAGGUCAGAGGUCAAUCCAAAAGUGGAAGAGUGCAAAAGAUUACUGGUUAUGAUCACUGUUCACAGAGUAAAUAAAAUGUGGAACGACAUACACGCUGC